AAGUCGUAACAAGGUUUCCGUAGGUGAACCUGCGGAAGGAUCAUUAGAAUGAGAGCCGGAGCCAUUGCUCGUGGGCAGAAACUGUCAUCGUCAUCUGUGCCAGCUAAGCGGCCCGUAAACCUGCCACCCUUGUGUAUUAUUCUUCUGUUGCUUUGGCAGGCCGCGACCCUCUGGGGGAGCGCUGGCUUCGGCUGGAGAGUGCCUGCCAGAGGACCAAACUCUGUAAUUUAAUGCCGUCUGAGUACUACGAAAAUAGUUAAAA
rnacentral:misc_RNA from 1 species